UUCCAGACUCCUACGGGAGGCAGCAGUGAGGAAUAUUGGUCAAUGGGCGUAAGCCUGAACCAGCCAAGUCGCGUGAGGGACGACGGCCCUACGGGUUGUAAACCUCUUUUGCCGGGGGACAAACGGCGGCACGCGUGCCGUCCUGAGGGUACCCGGAGAAAAAGCAUCGGCUAACUCCGUGCCAGCAGCCGCGGUAAUACGGAGGAUGCGAGCGUUAUCCGGAUUUAUUGGGUUUAAAGGGUGCGUAGGCGGACAGUCAAGUCAGCGGUAAAAAUGCGGUGCUCAACGCCGUACAGCCGCUGAAACUGGCAGUCUUGAGUGGGCGAGAAGUAUGCGGAAUGCGUGGUGUAGCGGUGAAAUGCAUAGAUAUCACGCAGAACUCCGAUUGCGAAGGCAGCAUACCGGCGUCCGACUGACGCUGAGGCACGAAAGCGUGGGUAUCGAACAGGAUUAGAUACCCCUGUAA
rnacentral:rRNA from 1 species